AUAUUUGGUACUCAUAUAUCUUCUUUGGUUAAAAUAUUUAAUUAAAACAAAUUAAGGUAACACAUGCCCAUGGUUUUAAAAAAUUCAAACAGUCAAAAGGGAAAACCGAAUCUCCUUCGUAUCCCUGGUAGGCCCGUGAAGAUGACAGCUGAGGAAACCGAGGCACAGGUCACUUUCCCCUGGUGACCCAGCUGGGAGGUGAGAGCGCUGGCAUUUGAACCAAGGCAGUGUGGCUCCAACGCCAAACUUUUAUCCAUUUUUACGCCUUUGGACUUCAAUGGGAACUACCCUACCAGCUUUCCUGAGUCUCCACCUUGCAGAUAGCGGAUGGUGGGACAUCUCAGCCUCCAUAAUCACAAUGUGGCAGAGGUGAUGGCGUGUGACUUCCAAAGCUCGACUAUAAAAGAUGUUGCCGCUUCCACCUGCACUCUCUUGGAUUGCUCACCUGGGGUAGUCAGCCGCCAUGUUGUAAGGAUACUCAAGCAGCACCGUGGACAGGGCCACAUGGAGAGGAACUCAGGCCUCUCACAAACAAUCAGCACAAAGUUGACAUAUGAGUAAAGCACCUAGAAAUGGAUCCUCCAGCCCCAGUCAAGUCUUCAGCUGACUGUAGCCCCAGCUGACAUCUUGACUAUAACUUCAUGAGACCCUCAACCAGACCUUCCCAGCUCAGCUACUCCUGAAUUCAUAACUCACACAAACUAUGAAGAAGCUCACAAAGCUGGUGACAUCUUGGAAGCCGCGUGUUGAGGAUGGCAGACUCACCGCUCUGAAGGACCACAUGGAAGAGUUGCUCCCAGCCCUGAACAGCUACCAAAAACUAUGAGAUAAGCAAGAAAUGCAGGUUUAUUUCAUUUGUGCCGUGGCAUGUCUGGGUCUGUUUGUUACACCUGCUUAACCUACCCUGACACUCACCCAAACCUACAACCUUUGCUCUCAAUGACACUCAUUCCACAAAGGAAGAAGGUGCGGCAAUAACCAAGAGCAUGGCACAGGGUGUGGGACAGAUCUGGGUUUAGGUCCUGGCCCUGUCACUUGUUGGAGGUGUCAACUUGGGACAGUUAACCUCAUGGAGCCUCACACAGUACAACAGACCUAACAACCGUACUUACCACAUAAUGGUUUUGUAAGAAUUAAAUGAGAAACUGUCCCAUGUUUUCCUCAUUUCUCAGGAGCACAUUUGUUUUGUUAGUUUGUUUUACAUUUUAACCUUUCUCAGAUCUAGGCGUGUCUUUUAAUAGAUGAAUGCAUUUCACAGGGUAGUUUUUUUCUUUUCCAUUUGCUUUUCUUUUUCCUGGAAAGCUGUUGUCUGAACGGUUUGGGUGGCAUUGUAGCAGCAAGGAUACACGGUUAGUAAAGGUCCCAGUGAGUGCCCAAUAAAGAAUGGCUCUUGUUUUUAUUAUUACAGCUCCGGCGGACUGGGCUUCCACAGUGAUUCAUUCAGCCAGUAAAC
rnacentral:lncRNA from 1 species